rnacentral:rRNA from 1 species
UGAAUACGAGACGCUAAGGCGUCGAAGUAGUGUAUGUCAUACUUCCAAGAAAAGCUUGCACUGUCAUAGAUAAAAAACGCCUGUACCAUAACCGACACAGGUGGGUAGGUAGAGUAUACUAAGGGGCGCGAGAUAACUCUCUCUAAGGAACUCGGCAAAAUAACUCCGUAACUUCGGGAGAAGGAGUGCCUUAUUAUUAAGGCUGCAAUAACAAGAUCCAAGCAACUGUUUAUCAAAAACACAGGUCUCCGCUAAGUCGUAAGACGAUGUAUGGGGGCUGACGCCUGCCCAGUGCCAGAAGGUUAAAGAAGUUGGUUAGCAUUUGCGAAGCUGAUAACUGAAGCCCUGGUGAACGGCGGCCGUAACUAUAACGGUCCUAAGGUAGCGAAAUUCCUUGUCGGGUAAGUUCCGACCCGCACGAAAGGCGUAAUGAUUUGGAUACUGUCUCGGAGAGGGGCUCGGUGAAAUAGACUUGUCUGUGAAGAUGCGGACUACCUGCACCAGGACAGAAAGACCCUAUGAAGCUUUACUGUAACUUGAAAUUGAAAUUGGACUUUAUUCGCGCAGCAUAGGUGGGAGGCGUUGAUUAUAAUCUUGUGGGAUUAUUGGAGCCAUCAGUGAGAUACCACUCUUGUAAUGUUAGAUUUCUAACUUUGAAUCAUUAUCUGGUCAAAGAACAGUUUCAGGCGGGCAGUUUGACUGGGGCGGUCGCCUCCUAAACGGUAACGGAGGCGUACAAAGGUUUCCUCUGAACGGUUAGAAAUCGUAUCUAGAGUGUAAAGGCAUAAGGAAGCUUGACUGUGAGACCUACAAGUCGAGCAGGGACGAAAGUCGGUCUUAGUGAUCUGACGGUACUGAGUGGAAAGGCCGUCACUCAACGGAUAAAAGUUACUCUAAGGAUAACAGGCUGAUCUCCCCCAAGAGUUCACAUCGACGGGGAGGUUUGGCACCUCGAUGUCGGCUCAUCGCAUCCUGGGGCGGUAGUACGUCCCAAGGGUUGGGCUGUUCGCCCAUGAAAGCGGUACGCGAGCUGGGUUCAGAACGUCGUGAGGCAGUUCGGUCCAUAUCCGGUGUAGGCGUUAGAAUAUUGAGAGGAGCCUUCUUUAGUACGAGAGGACCGAGAAGGACAUACCUCUGGUGUACCAGUUAUCGUGCCAACGGUAAACGCUGGGUAGCUAUGUAUGGAGUGGAUAACCGCUGAAAGCAUCUAAGUGGGAAGCCCACCUCAAGAUAAGUAUUCUCC